AGGAUGCGAGCGUUAUCCGGAUUUAUUGGGUUUAAAGGGUGCGUAGGCGGACUUUUAAGUCAGCGGUAAAAUUGAGAGGCUCAACCCCGGCCUGCCGUUGAAACUGGCGGUCUUGAGUGAGCGAGAAGUAUGCGGAAUGCGUGGUGUAGCGGUGAAAUGCAUAGAUAUCACGCAGAACUCCGAUUGCGAAGGCAGCAUACCGGCGCUCAACUGACGCUGAGGCACGAAAGCGUGGGGAUCGA
rnacentral:rRNA from 1 species